AACGCGAAGAACCUUACCUGGGCUCGAACGGCUUCGGACAAUCCUUGGAAACAGGGACUUCCCGCAAGGGACUGGAGUCGAGGUGCUGCAUGGCUGUCGUCAGCUCGUGUCGUGAGAUGUUGGGUUAAGUCCCGCAACGAGCGCAACCCUUGUCCUGUGUUGGCAUGCGUCACGAAAGUGGCGCGCAACUCGCAGGAGACCGCCAGCGAUAAGCUGGAGGAAGGUGGGGAUGACGUCAAGUCCUCAUGGCCUUUAUGUCCAGGGCUACACACGUGCUACAAUGGCCGGUACAAAGCGUCGCUAACCUGCGAAGGGGAGCCAAUCGCAAAAAACCGGUCUCAGUUCGGAUUGCAGGCUGCAACUCGCCUGCAUGAAGCUGGAAUCGCUAGUAAUGGCAGAUCAGCACGCUGCCGUGAAUACGUUCCCGGGCCUUGUACACACCGCUAGUC
rnacentral:rRNA from 1 species